GACGAACGCUGGCGGCGUGCCUAAUACAUGCAAGUCGAACGCCUCUUUCCUCCCGAGUGCUUGCACUCAAUUGGAAAGAGGAGUGGCGGACGGGUGAGUAACACGUGGGUAACCUACCCAUCAGAGGGGGAUAACACUUGGAAACAGGUGCUAAUACCGCAUAACAGUUUAUGCCGCAUGGCAUAAGAGUGAAAGGCGCUUUCGGGUGUCGCUGAUGGAUGGACCCGCGGUGCAUUAGCUAGUUGGUGAGGUAACGGCUCACCAAGGCCACGAUGCAUAGCCGACCUGAGAGGGUGAUCGGCCACACUGGGACUGAGACACGGCCCAGACUCCUACGGGAGGCAGCAGUAGGGAAUCUUCGGCAACGGACGAAAGUCUGACCGAGCAACGCCGCGUGAGUGAAGAAGGUUUUCGGAUCGUAAAACUCUGUUGUUAGAGAAGAACAAGGACGUUAGUAACUGAACGUCCCCUGACGGUAUCUAACCAGAAAGCCACGGCUAACUACGUG
rnacentral:rRNA from 1 species